GAUGAACGCUGGCGGCGUGCCUAAUACAUGCAAGUCGAGCGAACAGAUAAGGAGCUUGCUCCUUUGACGUUAGCGGCGGACGGGUGAGUAACACGUGGGUAACCUACCUAUAAGACUGGGAUAACUUCGGGAAACCGGAGCUAAUACCGGAUAACAUUUGGAACCGCAUGGUUCUAAAGUGAAAGAUGGUUUUGCUAUCACUUAUAGAUGGACCCGCGCCGUAUUAGCUAGUUGGUAAGGUAACGGCUUACCAAGGCGACGAUACGUAGCCGACCUGAGAGGGUGAUCGGCCACACUGGAACUGAGACGCGGUCCAGACUCCGACGGGAGGCAGCAGUAGGGAAUCUUCCGCAAUGGGCGAAAGCCUGACGGAGCAACGCCGCGUGAGUGAUGAAGGGUUUCGGCUCGUAAAACUCUGUUAUUAGGGAAGAACAAAUGUGUAAGUAACUGUGCACGUCUUGACGGUACCUAAUCAGAAAGCCACGGCUAACUACGUG
rnacentral:rRNA from 1 species